UACGUAGGGGGCAAGCGUUGUCCGGAUUUAUUGGGCGUAAAGAGCGUGUAGGCGGUUAGGUAGGUCCGUUGUGAAAACUCGAGGCUCAACCUCGAGACGCCGAUGGAAACCAUCUGACUAGAGUCCGGAAGAGGAGAGUGGAAUUCCUGGUGUAGCGGUGAAAUGCGCAGAUAUCAGGAAGAACACCCGUGGCUAAGGCGGCUCUCUAGUACGUGACUGACGCUGAGGCGCGAAAGCGUGGGGAGCAAACGGG
rnacentral:rRNA from 1 species